UUCGAUUCUGGCUCAGGAUGAACGCUAGCUACAGGCUUAACACAUGCAAGUCGAGGGGCAGCAUGGGAUUAGCUUGCUAAUCCUGAUGGCGACCGGCGCACGGGUGAGUAACGCGUAUCCAACCUUCCCCCUGCUCAGGGAUAGCCCGCUGAAAGGCGGAUUAACACCUGAUAGCUUCACUAGAUGGCAUCUGACGGUGAAUAAAGAUAACGGCAAGGGAUGGGGAUGCGUCUGAUUAGCUUGUUGGCGGGGUAACGGCCCACCAAGGCGACGAUCAGUAGGGGUUCUGAGAGGAAGGUCCCCCACAUUGGAACUGAGACACGGUCCAAACUCCUACGGGAGGCAGCAGUGAGGAAUAUUGGUCAAUGGGCGGAAGCCUGAACCAGCCAAGUAAGCGUGCAGGAUGACGGCCCUAUGGGUUGUAAACUGCUUUUGUACGGGAAUAAAGUGACCUACGUGUAGGUUUUUGCAUGUACCGUAAGAAUAAGGACCGGCUAAUUCCGUGCCAGCCGCCGC
rnacentral:rRNA from 1 species